rnacentral:rRNA from 1 species
GCGGCAUGCCUAAGACAUGCAAGUCGAACGAAGUCUUCGGACUUAGUGGCGCACGGGUGAGUAACAUGUGGGAAUCUACCUAAAGGUUCGGAAUAACUGCGGGAAACUGUAGCUAAUACCGGAUGUGUCCGUAAGGAGAAAGAUUUAUCGCCUUUAGAUGAGCCCGCACUAGAUUAGCUUGUUGGUGAGGUAAAAGCUCCACCAAGGCUACGAUCUAUAGCUGAUUUGAGAGGAUGAUCAGCCACACUGGGACUGAGACACGGCCCAGACUCCUACGGGAGGCAGCAGUCGGGAAUAUUGGACAAUGGGGGAAACCCUGAUCCAGCAAUGCCGCGUGAGUGAAGAAGGCCCUCGGGUUGUAAAACUCUUUCAUCAAUGAAGAUAAUGACAUUAAUUGAAGAAGAAGCUCCGGCUAACUCCGUGCCAGCAGCCGCGGUAAUACGGAGGGGGCUAGCGUUGUUCGGAAUUACUGGGCGUAAAGCGUAUGUAGGCGGAUCAAAAAGUUAGAUGUGAAAUCCCUAGGCUUAACCUAGGAACUGCAUUUAAAACUAGUGAUCUAGAAUUUGGUAGGGGUUAGUAGAAUUUCCAGUGUAGAGGUGAAAUUCGUAGAUAUUGGAAAGAAUACCAGUGGCGAAGGCGACUAACUGGGCCAUUUUUGACGCUGAGAUACGAAAGCGUGGGUAGCAAACAGGAUUAGAUACCCUGGUAGUCCACGCAGUAAACGAUGAGUGCUAGUCGCUGGGUCAAUAGAUUCAGUGUCGAAGCUAACGCAUUAAGCACUCCGCCU